UCCUGAUCCCCCACCACCUCCCACCCCCACCAGCCCCCUCCUUCCUCACUGCCACCCCAAAGUCCUCUUCCCUCCCUCUUUUGUCUGUCGUUCCCUCUCUCGAGACCUUCGGUCCCUUUAUCUUGUGGAAGCUUUCAAACUCGUCCCUCCGGAUCCCUGGCGCGUGCCUACACACGGAGCUCGACACUCACUGCGAUGAAAACCCAACACCGAUGGGCUCGAUGUAGACACCAGGCUGCUGCAACACCUUGUCCAGCGUGGUCUUCUUAAUAGCAGCAGGAGAGAUUUGCUCCUGAUCAGCAAGAAACUGCAGUUCCCUGGGGAAAAAAAAGAAAAGAAAAGAAAAGAAAAGACAAAUACAGGACGAGCCCACGAUUAGACAUCACCUCUGAAACGGUCCAUAUCUCUAAAAACAA